AUUGGACUUCUAUGUUCACCCAGUGCUUUGUCAGCAGAGCACAAAACCCCUUUGGAAUUAAUACUUCCUAAUUCAUAAAUUGUUGUUUACUCAAACUCUUUUAACAUUUUAAUUUUGCCUCAUAGUUUUCUUUUAAUAAGUCUUAACCCUGGCCUCCUGCGACUAUGACCUGAUGUGAAAACAGGGAUUUUGCACAUGUAACCAAAUAAAGAAGAAGUCAUUAUGGUGGGUCCUAAUCCAACACCACUGGUGUCUUUAUAGGAAGGGUGAAGUACAAAGGCAGGAGCCCCUGUGCCUGGAGACAGAAUCUCAAAAGACAGCUGCAGAAUGGAGUCAAGCUGUCUCCUGUGGAGGAAUGCCUGGCGCUAUGGGAAGCUGCAAGAGUCAAGAAAGGAUCCUCCUGUGGAGACCACAGAGGACCUACAAUAGCAAUGGAUGGAGCAUGGCUAUUUUUGCUUCAAAGUCAGCUGCUGGAUUUAGCAGAAAGAGCAGAGGCUGCAGAGACAGCCAGACUGGGGGAUGAAUUCGAGGUGCAACACGUAGAUUAGAGAAGUCAGAGAAGAAAAAACACAUACAUCUCUUCCAUAGCACCAAAGACCAACUUUUACUGGGUAAGUCACAGAUUCAUAUGUAUCUUUUAAUAGCCAUUUUUAGAGCAUUUUUAAGUUUACAGCAAAAUUAAGCAGCAAGUACAGAGAUUUCCUACAGGCAAUGAACAGAUGAAGAACCAAUGGAAACGUGUUCAAAAAUUCCUGUGUUAGCUAACAGGCUUCUGGGUGUAUUGCUGUGGUCUACAGAGAAGGCUGGAGAAGGUGCAAGGAGACACUGUAUCAGCUACUACAGCCUUAGAACAAAAUCUGUCCUUUUAAAACAAAAUUGGGUCUGGACUUCAAAACUGUUCCUAUGCAGCUUAUUUUACUUUUGUUUAAUUAAGUAAACAAGAGGGUUUUUUUUUUUUUUUCCUGGGUAGGGUGUAGUAGAUUUCCUAUAUAUCCCCUAGCCCUGCAUGUGCAUAAUCUUUUCCAUUAUCAAUGUCCCCCACCAGACUGGUACAUUUGUAACAAUCAAUAAAUCUACACUGACAUAUGACCACCCAAAGCCAUAGUUUACAUUAAUUUUCACCAUUAUACAUUUUCUGGGUUUUGGACAAAUGUUUAGUGCCAUGUACUCAUCUUUGUGGUAUUGUACAGAAUCGUUUCACGGCCCUAAAAAUCCUCUAUGAUCUACCUGUUCAUUAAUGCCUCCCUUCCAACUCCUGGAAACCACUGAUCUUUAAACCUGCUUUUCACAGAAUAUCAUAUAGGAGGGAUCAUACAGUAGAGAGCCUUUUCAGAAUGGCUUUUUUGUCAGUCAUGUGCAUUUAAGUCUAUUCCAUGUCUUUUCAUAGCUUGAUAGCUCAUUGGUUUUAGCACUGAAUAAUAAACUCUCCAAUGUCUUGACAUACCACAGUUUAUCCUAUUAAAAGACAUCUUAGUUUGUCCUACUAAAGGACAUCUUAGUUUCUUCUAAAUUUUUGGUAAUUAUGCAUAAAGCUACUGCAAGCUUCCAUGUGCAGGUUUUUAUAUGGACCAAGAUUAAUGUGUGUGGACAUUUUCAACUUGUUUGCGUACAUACCAAGAAAUUCAAUGUCCAAACUGUUCAAAGUGGUUGUAGCAUUUGUAUUCCCACCAGCAAUGAAUCAGAGGUCCUAAUGCUCUACAUAUUUACCAGCAUAUAGUGCUAUCAGCAUUUGAGAUCUUCAUCACUCUAGCAGAUGUGUAGUAGUGCUCCAUUAUUGUAUUAAUUUGCACUUCUUUAAGGAUAUCUUUUUCAUGUUUACUUGUCAUGUAUAAAACUUCUUUGGUGAAGUGUCUGUUCAAGUCUUUUGUUCAUUUUUAAAAACAGGUUGUUUACUUACUAUAGAACUUUAUAAACUCUUAUAUAUUUCAGGUAAUAUUUGCUUCUUCUGUAAAUAUGUUCUGCCAAUUUGUGGUUUGUCUUUUCAUUUUAAACUUAAUGAGUUUUGUUUUCAUAUUCUUUAACACAAAUAAUUUCUAUCCCCCUUUUACUCCUAUUUUUGAGUAUCCUGCUACAGUUUCUGGAAAACAGAAGCAGAUAUUCCCACAUGAGGUCAAAUGAGUGAAAAUAUAAAGUAGUGGGAGGCUCAAGGCUCUAGAGUCAGGCUACCUAGGCUCCAAUCUUGGCUCUCACAUAUCCUCUUAAUAUUUCUGCUAUGGGCUGCACUGUGUUUCCCCAAAAUUCAUACACUGAAGCCUUAAUACUUCAUGUAACUGUUUAAACAUAGGGCCUUUACAAAGGUAACUGGUUAAAUGAGGUCAUAAAGGUGGGGCCUCAUGCAACAGUAGUGAGGUCUUAUGAGAAGAGACACCAAUAAGCUCUCACAUUCUCUUUCCAUGAGUGCACAGAGGAACGGCCACAUGAAGACAGAGGAGAAGCAUUCAUCUGCAAACCAGGGAGAGGGCCAUGGCCAGACACCAGCACCACUAACAUCUCGAUCUUGGAUGCCUAGCAUCCUUAACUGUGAGAAAAUAAAGUCCUGUUGUCUAA